ensembl:ncRNA lncRNA:CR44609 long non-coding RNA:CR44609
GCUGAUGAUUUGCUUUUGAUGAUGCGCACGAACAGAAACGGUUCGUCGAAGAGAACAAAGUCAGAGAAGUACGAAAAAAAUAGAACUGGGAAUAUUGUGGCAACCGGAGACGAUGAAAGCCAAAAAGUAGCACAGCAAUUGGCACAGAAAUGGAAAUAAUUUGCAUUUAAUGACGAUCGCCGCGUGGGCCGCAUAUGGCCAUGGAGGAGGUGGGCCCAAGGAGGAGGUUACCCCAAUCCUCAAUCCCUAUGCAUUAUGCACUAAUGUCGGUCCAAGUUCAAAUCAUUAGGUAUGGCAUGGUGUGUCUUUCGGCAGCGACUGACCAUCGCGGUCCGAUGGCUGGAUGGUCGAAUCGUCUGAUGGUCCUGGGCAAUUUGCAGAGUGCGCUGUCACGAUUAAUAACGCUGUCAUAAUAACACUUUUCUGUGAUUGAUUUAAGACAAUUACAGAAAAGAGGAACACAGCGCUCACGUUUGAUGAUGAGGAAUGGAGAUGGAAUAGAGUGUUCGCCAAGGGUUGCGGCUUCACGGCCCUGAGUGAUUGGCGCUGGCCGCAGCGCUUAAGAAAGAGAUUAUCAAGUUGCCAAAUGGGCACGUCCGUUGAGGGAAUGGGAAUGGGAAUGGGAUUGGAACUUGCACUUGGACUUGGACUCCCUAGUAAUAUGGGCAUGAGCAUGGCGAUCGAGGGCGACUGGCUGCGAAAAGUGUUGAGCCGCGCAGACAUGCUAAAUUAAGCUGAAGAAGAUGGCUAUCAACACCACCAACACCGCCAACGAGUUGGUGGCUUCACUUCGGCUCAGUUCACUUCUUCUGGCUGGGAUGGCCUGGCAAAAUCGCUUGAUGUUGAUGGUUUACAACAAGUAAUUGGCAGCAUCCACAUGUUGGCCGCAACAACCACAGCCCAACUUCGUUUUGUGCCCAUCCGAGCGUCGCUUGUGUCAAAAGGUUAUGGGUACGGAUACCGCGCUCCCGCAUGUAAUAACAUUUCAAGCUGUGCUCUUUGGUCUUCAACUUGAACCUCUUACACGGCUGACUGCCCUGCUCACAGACCUCAAAGGCAGCCCACAUUUCUGAUCCCACAUCCACGGGCCAGGGCGUCAAUGUCAGAGCUUCGAUUUGGUUGCCAACUCUCUCUCUCUCUCUCUCUCUGGUUAUUGUUAUUGCCGCCGGAGCUGCCGCUUCUGCCUUUGGGCCGGGUCAAGUUCAAGGCUUCCCAUUUUGUGAAUUUUAUGCGUUUUUUGCCGCUUUGGCAAUAC